rnacentral:rRNA from 1 species
UACGUAGGGGGCAAGCGUUGUCCGGAAUCAUUGGGCGUAAAGAGCGUGUAGGCGGCUCGGUAAGUCCGCUGUGAAAGUCCAGGGCUCAACCCUGGAAAGCCGGUGGAAACUGUCGAGCUAGAGUCCGGAAGAGGCGAGUGGAAUUCCUGGUGUAGCGGUGAAAUGCGUAGAGAUCGGGAGGAACACCUGUGGCGAAGGCGGCCGGCUGGGGGUACCCUGACGCUGAGGCGCGACAGCGUGGGGAGCGAACCGG